AUCCCCACUCUAUGUACCUAAAUUUAGUCUUGCAUUGCCAGAUCUACCUCCACGGCGCUGCGUAGGAGGGUCAGGCUAGUCCAUACAGCAUUCCGGGAUGGGAGAAAAA